GAUAAAAACAUAUUUCAAAACACUGAUAAUUCUACCUGCAUGUGUGUAAAGGUUUAACCAAUUAUAUUAAAUCAUCAGAGUUUCAUUAUUGCACAUUAUGUUUAAAUAGGACUGAUUCAAUCUUGUGGGACAUUAAAGUCACUUCAUAGUGAUAAUGACCCAGCUAGUGUAACUAAAACAUGUAGUAGUAGUAGUAGUAGUAGUAGUAAUAGUUGCUUUUUACCUAAACGGCACCUAUUUUACCCCUUUUUCAAGAUUUAAGAUGCGUCUUUUAGCAAGUGUAAAGUAGAAAACUAGGGAGAGAAAUGUUUGAACAAGUCAUGACUGCAACAGUAAGUGGCAAAAAACUAAAAACAAAAGACUUUUAUUUUGGCGUGGCGUGUGACGUCAUUAGGCUGCGCCGCUCUUGCGCUUGAUUCAGCUGGAGAAAGGUUUGUUUUUAAAACCUUUACAUAAAUAUAAAGCGAUUGAAUAAAGUUUCAGGGUUUUCAUCCGAUGCUAUAUUAUGAACCUGC
rnacentral:lncRNA from 1 species